GAAAGGUGAUGUACAGAACCAAAUCUCCACCUUGAGUCAUUGGAAAUCCAAGUCUGCUACCCUUCUGGCUUUGAAAUUUCGGCAGAAACAGCACAUACACAUAGACUCAGCAGAACAAGAUGGGAGGCACUGCA